UGAGGAAGUCUGGAUGAGACAACCCUCCCUUCGUGGGCUGUCACACACGGACCCGUCCUCUGGUGAGCUGUCAAUCUGGGCAGGUCCUGUCAUCUGCUCCACACCUCCUUCACCUCACUCCAUCCACAUUACAUGAUUGGCGUUCAGCUGUCUGACUCCUCCCUUCUUCUUUGCUGAAGUUCCCGCUGUUUCUGCUUGCCGUUUAUAGCAUGCACGUUCCAAUGUGGCCAUUUUUU